AUGAAGUGUUUGGGAGAACUC
rnacentral:miRNA from 1 species